rnacentral:rRNA from 1 species
UACAGAGGUCCCAAGCGUUGUUCGGAUUCAUUGGGCGUAAAGGGUGCGUAGGUGGCGCCGUAAGUCGGGUGUGAAAUUUCGGAGCUUAACUCCGAAGCUGCAUUCGAUACUGCGGUGCUUGAGGACUGGAGAGGAGACUGGAAUUCAUGGUGUAGCAGUGAAAUGCGUAGAGAUCAUGAGGAAGACCAGUGGCGAAGGCGGGUCUCUGGACAGUUCCUGACACUGAGGCACGAAGGCCAGGGGAGCAAAACGGG